CUGAGGCUUACAUAAAGAGGUCCUUUCAUUUGGUUAAGACCUCCAACAGUAAAGGACUGACUGGGCAAAGAAUGUCCUCUCCUCUGCCUUGGAGGUGCAGUACUGAGCUGGCCCACAUUUA